rnacentral:rRNA from 1 species
AAGUGGACGUAUAGGGUGUGACGCCUGCCCGGUGCUGGAAGAUUAAAUGAUGGGGUGCAAGCUCUUGAUUGAAGUCCCAGUAAACGGCGGCCGUAACUAUAACGGUCCUAAGGUAGCGAAAUUCCUUGUCGGGUAAGUUCCGACCUGCACGAAUGGCGUAACGAUGGCCACACUGUCUCCUCCCGAGACUCAGCGAAGUUGAAGUGUUUGUGAUGAUGCAAUCUACCCGCGGCUAGACGGAAAGACCCCAUGAACCUUUACUGUAGCUUUGCAUUGGACUUUGAACCAAUCUGUGUAGGAUAGGUGGGAGGCUUUGAAGCGGGGACGCCAGUUCUCGUGGAGCCAACCUUGAAAUACCACCCUGGUUUGUUUGAGGUUCUAACCUUGGUCCGUAAUCCGGAUCGGGGACAGUGCAUGGUAGGCAGUUUGACUGGGGCGGUCUCCUCCUAAAGUGUAACGGAGGAGUUCGAAGGUACGCUAGGUACGGUCGGACAUCGUGCUAAUAGUGCAAUGGCAUAAGCGUGCUUAACUGCGAGACUGACAAGUCGAGCAGGUACGAAAGUAGGACAUAGUGAUCCGGUGGUUCUGUAUGGAAGGGCCAUCGCUCAACGGAUAAAAGGUACUCUGGGGAUAACAGGCUGAUUCCUCCCAAGAGUUCAUAUCGACGGGGGAGUUUGGCACCUCGAUGUCGGCUCAUCACAUCCUGGGGCUGUAGCCGGUCCCAAGGGUAUGGCUGUUCGCCAUUUAAAGUGGUACGUGAGCUGGGUUUAAAACGUCGUGAGACAGUUUGGUCCCUAUCUGCCGUGGGCGUUGGAAAUUUGAAGGGGGCUGCUCCUAGUACGAGAGGACCGGAGUGGACAGACCUCUGGUGUACCGGUUGUCACGCCAGUGGCAUUGCCGGGUAGCUAAGUCUGGAAGAGAUAACCGCUGAAAGCAUCUAAGCGGGAAACUCGCCUUGAGAUGAGAUUUCCCGGAGCCUUGAGCUCCUUGAAGGGUCGUUCGAGACCAGGACGUUGAUAGGUCGGGUGUGGAAGUGCAGUAAUGCAUUAAGCUAACCGAUACUAAUUGCCCGUACGGCUUGUCCCU